rnacentral:rRNA from 1 species
UGAACGCUAGCGGGAGGCUUAACACAUGCAAGUCGAGGGGCAGCAUUUACUUCGGUAAGAUGGCGACCGGCGAACGGGUGCGUAACGCGUAUGCAACCUACCUUAUACAAAAGGAUAGCCCAUGGAAACGUGGAUUAAUACUUUAUAGUACUAUAAAACUGCAUAGUUUAAUAGUUAAAAUUUCGGUGGUAUAAGAUGGGCAUGCGUAGGAUUAGGUAGUUGGUGAGGUAACAGCUCACCAAGCCGACGAUCCUUAGGGGUUCUGAGAGGAUUAUCCCCCACACUGGUACUGAGACACGGACCAGACUCCUACGGGAGGCAGCAGUGAGGAAUAUUGGUCAAUGGACGAGAGUCUGAACCAGCCAUCCCGCGUGCAGGAUGACGGCCCUAUGGGUUGUAAACUGCUUUUCUACGCCAAGAAACCCACCUACGUGUAGGUGGUUGACGGUAGCGUAGGAAUAAGCAUCGGCUAACUCC